rnacentral:rRNA from 1 species
CAGUAGCCGCGGGAACACGUAGGGUGCAAGCGUUAAUCGGAAUUACUGGGCGUAAAGCGUGCGCAGGCGGUUUGUUAAGACAGAUGUGAAAUCCCCGGGCUUAACCUGGGAACUGCAUUUGUGACUGGCAAGCUAGAGUCUGGCAGAGGGGGGUGGAAUUCCGCGUGUAGCAGUGAAAUGCGUAGAUAUGCGGAGGAACACCGAUGGCGAAGGCAGCCCCCUGGGCCAACACUGACGCUCAUGCACGAAAGCGUGGGGAGCAAACAGGAUUAGAUACCCCAGUAGUCCCUGUCUCUUAUAC